UACAGUAUAGUGCUGGCUUCUCAUGGAUUAGGCUCACUUUUGGCAGAUCAGGCCCACUGCCGGCAGAUCAGGACCGCUUCCUGGCUUCCCAAGGGUGAGCUGCAGAACUCCUCUCUCUAAGGAGGGAAACCAAUUCCAAACCCAGCCUCAUCGGGAGAGAAAAAAAAAUGUUUUAAUAUCUGAGAGCACAUAUAAAUAGUAACGGUACUUAGGGACCUGUAUUGAUAAUCAAAGAAAUUGCAUAUUCUGUGACCCAGCCAUUGUACUAGGAAUACAUCCUGAGGAAGUCGUCAGAGACAUAAGGGUUCAGAGACUGUGCUUCCAAGAUGACUUUGGGACCAGGGUGUGUGAGGACGUGGGAAGGCGUGGCCCCUGCACGAGGCCUGGCUGGGAAACGCCGCUGUGAUCACAUCCCUCAUCACUGACUGCUGACCACCUGGCAGUUUUCCAGGACCAAGCCUCCUGCGCUGUGUGAUUCUGGGAACAUCUCUGGCUCACAAGGUCUGAAAAGCAAACCAGUCAGCUAUGGUAUGGAAAACAGUUUUUACUGCCAGAAUUCUUCCCAGCAGAGAAAAAGACUAGACGGCCCUGAAGUAUUUCUGAAACAAAAUAAAAUCUGACUGCUGAAUGGCAUGAGUCGCAGGGUCGCGCUCCAGAAGCCCCUGAGGGAGCCCACACCCCGCGACCCGCGAGGACGUGCUGCCACCUUCUGUGGCAACAGCCUCGGCCGCCGCUGACCCUCGGAGGGUGACCCCGUGGGUUCCAGCCUCCGGCGACCCUAAGACACCGGAGGUUCCUCGGAGAAGGGACCCACAGGCGCGGGGCGAGGGAGCGGCUACGCACACGGGGAGCCCCGGGCCCUGCAGAGCGGCGGCCGCCAGGGGGUGAGAAGGAGCCCGCGCCGAUAGCAGCUAGGCCUGGGCGCGCCUCCUCCGCCUCCGGAAUCCUGGGGUCCACCUGGAGGUGGCCAGUGCAAGUCUCAGCGGGGACGGGUAACACUUAGAGCCCAGCGCCGCUUUGGACGUGGGGACAGAAGACUGAAGGUUUGGGUCUUUAAUGGGCCCUCAGAAGGGAACACUGAUUUUGACCACACCUGAUUUUCUGCAGAUUGUGACCCUGUGCUAAAAAGCGUUCCUCUCAGGAUGCUUCCUGCCUGUUUCUCUGAGGCCACGUGGUCCUGGAGGGCAGGAGCAUCGUGCCCGCGCGUGUCUGGUGCAGGGUGGGCACCUGCACCCAUGCCCUCAAUGACCUGGAGCUCAGGGAAGGAGGGAGGGAUGGAAAAGAAUAAGGCUGCCCCACAGAAUGGAGGGAGAAGUGAACUGGGAGCCUGAACCCUAAACAAGUGUCAAUUCUGCUGCUGCUUUCAUCCAAUCAACCCACAGGAUCCAUUGGCACCAAAGGGGCCCAGACCCAGGGACACCGAGGUGACCCCCCUUUGAAUUCAUUUGAAGGAAAAUGCAAGCACAACAGCCUGAAUUGGGGGCUUUCAACUUAAUGCAAAAUGCAAAGUAUAUAAAUAUGAAUUACAUACUUAAAGAUAAGGUAGUUAAGAGCUCUAUACAUGUUUUUAAGUCUUAUUAAAAGUUCACUAAAUUUCAUCACAUUUUGGUCGUUGUACUGUUAUUACACGAGAGUUUCUAGGAAAUACACACAAAUAUUUAGUAUAAGGGGCAUCAAGGCUGCAAAUGACUCAAAAAUAGUUCAGACCAAGAAGUGUUUUAGCAACCUUUUUGUAAAUUGUCUGAAAAUAUGCCAAAAUAUGAAGUCAAAAGUCCGGGGAAGGGGCAUUUGGCAAUCUGUUGGGGGUACCAGCAGGAAGCCAGCACUGGGACGAGGGGGAGCACGUGCUGGGAUGUAGGGUUUGUAUGCAUGACCCAUGGAGUAGGGGCCAGUGUAAACCUACAUCCAGGUUGGGCAACAAGGAGGGGUGGAAAGACGUGGAGUCUCAUGAUGGCCUGCCUGCGUGUGGGGAAGAGGAGUAUGGGAUGACAGCAACAUACCCAAAGCCCCAGGAUGGCCCACCUGUUAUGCCUGGAGCUGGUGCACGACUUAUGGGUGAGUCUGAUUCAAAGGCCCAGAUGUGCUGCAGAACUGGCACCUCAUUUAUCUAGUCCCUAGGAGGAAGGCAGAUUUGCAGGCUAUCAGAGGUGCUGUGUGGCUCACAGUGGUUCUCAGUGACCACAUCUGUACCACCCUCCUUACUGGGACUGUCAAAGUUCUUUCCUGAGACUUUCCAAACUCUAAGGCAGAGGGAGAGAUCCCAUCUCCUUCUCUGGUCAAGAGACUGUAAGGGAUGUAAGGUGGCUUUUAGAGAGAUCUGGUCUGAGUGAGGAAGAGGCAGGGGAAUAAAACAUCCUGCAUGAUGCAUCCUGGAA